UACGUAGGGUGCAGGCGUUAAUCGGAAUUACUGGGCGUAAAGCGUGCGCAGGCGGUUUGCUAAGACAGGUGUGAAAUCCCCGGCUUAACCUGGGAACUGCGCUUGUUACUGGCAGGCUUGAGUGUGGCAGAGGGGGGUGGAAUUCCACGUGUAGCAGUGAAAUGCGUAGAGAUGUGGAGGAACACCGAUGGCGAAGGCAGCCCCCUGGGCUAACCACGUGACGCCUCGAUGCACGAAA
rnacentral:rRNA from 1 species